GGCCCAUCAGCUCAGUUGGUUAGAGCAUUGUGCUAAUAACGCGGGGGUUGCAGGUUCGAUACCCGCAUGGGCCU